rnacentral:rRNA from 1 species
GAUCUACACACUGCAUAUCGUCGGCAGCGUCAGAUGUGUAUAAGAGACAGGGUUUGGAAAGACCCACCACAGAAGGUAAUAGUCCUGUAUGUUAAACGAGAAGACUUCAGAUAUGAUCCAGAGUACCACGGGACACGUGAAACCCUGUGGGAAGCAGGAGGGACCACCCUCCAAGGCUAAAUACUACCUAGUGACCGAUAGCGUAUAGUACCGUGAGGGAAAGGUGAAAAGAACCCCGGGAGGGGAGUGAAAUAGAACCUGAAACCCUGCACUUACAAGCUGUGGAAGCACAUUUCUUGUGUGACCGCGUACUUUUUGUAGAACGGGCCAACGAGUUACGUUAAGUAGCAAGGUUAAGCACUUAAGGUGCGGAGCCGUAGCGAAAGCGAGUUUUAACUGAGCGUUCAGUUACUUGACGUAGACCCGAAACCGGGCGACCUACCCAUGAGCAGGAUGAAGCGAAAGUAAAAUUUCGUGGAGGUCCGAACCCACGAGCGUUGAAAAGCUCGGGGAUGACUUGUGGGUAGCGGUGAAAUUCCAAUCGAGCCCGGAGAUAGCUGGUUCUCCCCGAAAUAGCUUUAGGGCUAGCCUCAAGGUGAGAGAUACGGAGGUAGAGCACUGAAUGUCCUAGGGGGUAUUGCACCUACCGAAGACUAUCAAACUCCGAAUGCCGUCAUCUUAUACUUGGGAGUCAGACUGUGGGUGAUAAGAUUCAUAGUCGAAAGGGCAACAGCCCAGAUCGUCAGCUAAGGUCCCUAAAUGUAAGUUAAGUGGUAAAGGAUGUGGGAUUGCACAGACAACCAGGAUGUUGGCUUAGAAGCAGCCACUCAUUCAAAGAGUGCGUAAUAGCUCACUGGUCGAGUGAUCCUGCGCCGAAGAUUUCCGGGGCUAAAACUUACUACCGAAGCUACGGCAUCAGUAAUGAUGGGUAGGGGAGCUUCCCAUACGGGUUGAAGCAUGACCGUAAGGACAUGUGGACAGUAUGGGAGUGAGAAUGUUGGCAUGAGUAGCGAGAUGUGGGUGAGAAUCCCACAGGCCGUAAACCCAAGGUUUCCAGGGGAAGGUUCGUCCGCCCUGGGUUAGUCGGGACCUAAGCUGAGGCCGAAAGGCGUAGGUGAUGGACAACAGGUUGAUAUUCCUGUACUACCGAUAACCGUUUGAGAGAAGGGAUGACACAGUAGGAUAAGCUAAGCACACUGUUGGUUAUGUGUGCCCAAGCAUUGAGGCAGUCAAAGUAGGCAAAUCCGCUUUGAUAAUGCUGGGAUGUGAUGGGGAGCGAAAUUUAGUAGCGAAGUAGCUGAUUUCACACUGUCAAGAAAAGUCUCUAUCGAGGUUAAAGGUACCCGUACCGCAAACCGACACAGGUGGGUGAGGAGAGUAUCCUAAGGCCAGCGAGAGAACUGUUGUUAAGGAACUCGGCAAAAUGACCCCGUAACUUAGGGAUAAGGGGUGCCACCAUCAGGUGGCCGCAGAGAAUAGGCCCAAGCGACUGUUUACCAAAAACAUAGGUUUCUGCUAAGUCGCAAGACGAUGUAUAGGAGCUGACGCCUGCCCGGUGCUGGAAGGUUAAGGGGAUCUGUUAGAGCAAUCGAAGCAGUGAACUUAAGCCCCAGUAAACGGCGGCCGUAACUAUAACGGUCCUAAGGUAGCGAAAUUCCUUGUCGGGUAAGUUCCGACCCGCACGAAAGGCGUAACGAUUUGGGCACUGUCUCAACAACAGACUCGGUGAAAUUGUAAUUCCGGUGAAGAUGCCGGAUACCUGCGACAGGACGGAAAGACCCCAUGGAGCUUUACUGUAGCUUGACAUUGGGUCUUGGUACUACAUGUACAGGAUAGGUGGGAGGCUUUGAAACCAGGACGCCAGUUUUGGCGGAGCCAUCCUUGGGAUACCACCCUUGUAGUACUGGGACUCUAACCAUAGGCCAUGAAUCUGGUCUUGGGACACUGUCAGG